rnacentral:rRNA from 1 species
UACGUAGGCAGCGAGCGUUGUUCGGAAUUACUGGGCGUAAAGAGUGUGUAGGCGGUGCUCCCAGUCUGUUGUGAAAUCUCCCGGCUUAACUGGGAGGGUGCAGCGGAAACUAGAGUGCUAGAGGGUGGGCGAGGUAAGCGGAAUUCCUGGUGUAGCGGUGAAAUGCGUAGAUAUCAGGAGGAACACCUGUGGUGUAGACAGCUUACUGGACCACUUCUGACGCUGAGACACGAAAGCGUGGGUAGCAAACAGG